rfam:Eubacterium limosum KIST612, complete genome.
AUAUAAUCUUAUACAGGUGGUGCAGUAUUCUAGUCGGCACUGUUGAUCACCAGGGCGGGCCUAAAAAUCCGUCGAAGGGCAUAUCGAUGAAGUCCCUUGUGAAUGCUUUUGACGCCCAGUUGGGGGUGUUCACCGGGGGUUAAGGAAGAUGGGGCAACCUGCAAUGGCAUGUGGGCUUCUGACCCUGCUUCCGUGGAGACCUGUCUAAUGAUAGGGAAAACCUGUGAAUGUGUUUCAUUCUGUAGUGGAAUGGAGUACUGAAACAGUGUAGCCUGCCUUGAGUGGCUUAGGUGGAUGGGCUGACAGUUUUAUAAUUUCCAGGGCCCGGAGAGUAUAAAAUAUUGCGUUCGAAACCUAAUCUGCAAAAGAGGCUAAGGAUCAAUGGGUGUUGUCGAGGAAAACUCCUAGACUGCUCGCAAGAGGUAUAGUGGGGAUUAUAGUGCACACUUAGUGGUAAUUCAGUCCUGCAUCCGGUGACGCUGCAGACUACAUGUAAAGGGAAACCGCUUUGACGGCGACGUCUUAGUCAUGUUUUGGGAAAUCCUACUGAACCUAUGUCGCAAAGUUUACUCAUUAUGCUACCACCCCAUGAAAGAAUGUG